rnacentral:rRNA from 1 species
AUCAGGUAGUAGUGGGUGUAGCGUACCUACUAGCCUACGACGGGUACGGGUUGUGAGAGCAAGAGCCCGGAGAUGGAUUCUGAGACACGAAUCCAGGCCCUACGGGGUGCAGCAGGCGCGAAAACUUUACAAUGCCGGCAACGGCGAUAAGGGGACCUCGAGUGCCAGGUUACAAAUCUGGCUGUCGUGAUGCCUAAAAAGCAUUUCAUAGCAAGGGCCGGGCAAGACCGGUGCCAGCCGCCGCGGUAACACCGGCGGCUCGAGUGGUAACCGUUAUUAUUGGGUCUAAAGGGUCUGUAGCCGGCCGGAUAAGUCUCUUGAGAAAUCUGUCAGCUCAACUGUCAGGCUUUCAGGAGAUACUGUCUGGCUCGAGGCCGGGAGAGGUGAGAGGUACUUCAGGGGUAGGGGUGAAAUCUUGUAAUCCUUGAAGGACCACCAGUGGCGAAGGCGUCUCACCAGAACGGGUCCGACGGCUAGGGACGAAAGCUAGGGGCACGAACCGGAUUAGAUACCCGGGUAGUCCUAGCCGUAGACGAUACUCGCUAGGUGUCGGCCACGGUGCGACCGUUGUCGGUGCCGUACGGAAGCCGUGAAGCGAGC